GUUGCCACAUGUUCUCCCCCAUCCCUGAUUCCCAUGACAUCCUCAAAUAGCUUGGACGAUAGUUGAAUUGUUCUUCCAAAUAUCUACAGCCGGGAAGUGGUUAGAUCCACGUGACGAUAAGCCAACUAACUAUCUUAGCAUCGAUGUAUGGGCCAUCCUCCCUUGAGAAUGUAGAGAAACUGGUAAUUCUGACUAUUUCUUUUUGAGCGUCGUUGAGAAGUGGGACUAUUCUACCCAAACGUUCGAAGGAGCAACGGCCAGAUACUUGAACAUCCCCUACCCCUUCAUUGUUCUCAAUUCUUGGCUCAGCAGAUAAUGUCUCCUUCAACUUCUUCCCUUUCCCUCUAACACCAACCUUCGAAGGGGAAGCCUCAACUUCAUAUGAAGCCCACUUCUCAAUCUCUUCCUCACUAAGCAGCUUAAAUUGCUAUUUAAAAUACUUUUUUGGGGACCCGUCGCUAAAAAAUUUAUCUAAGUGUUAAAAACCGUCGCCUAUAGUACACUAAAGGCGACGGUUUUUAACACUCGUAUAAAUUAGGCGACGGUUAAUAAAUAUAGAAAAAAAAUUAAAAAAUAAAUAAAUACACUAUUCCCGACGGUUUAGAACCGUCGGGCAAAGUAUUAGCCACAGUUUUAAACCGUGGCCCAUACUUUGACCGACGGUUUAAAACGGUCAGGACUAAGGAAAUACCCUUUAAAAUAAAAACUCCUCUCUCUUAAAUCCAUCAGAUGGCUCACCCUCUCGACUCACGCCCCAACCACGGUUUGCCCUAAACCUUCUCCUUCUUCGCCCCAACCACAGUUUCAGAUCGACGAGCCCCCAAUUCGCGAGCCGCAAGCCUAUCUCCGGUAAGACUCUCUCUCUCUCUCUCCAUUUUUUCUUUCUUUUCUCUCCCAAGCCUAUCUCCGGUAAGAAUCUAUCUCAGGUUUCCCUCUCAAUUUGUUGCCGCUGCUCCACCCAUACAGGCCAGCUCCGGUCUCAAACUUCUGUUGUCUGCCUGAGAUUGAAGGCCUCGUACAAGAUCAGAACAACCCAUAUCCCAUCGGGUUCAGAGGCCUAAUCCGCUCCUCCCUUCCAGGGUAAGAGCGAUCUGUAUUCAAAUGGCGAGAUAAAUAUUCUACGUGAUCAGUGGAUUGAAUACGUCCAAGUACAAGCAAUGCGACAAGGGCUAUUACAGUGAUCAGUUUAUGUUUUUGUUUAUACUUUACUAGUGAACAAAGCAGCACUUCGUGCGGUAUGUAUAAUAAUUUUAAAAUUUUUAUUCACACUAAAAAUAUAUUUUUUUGUUA